AACUAUUAGCUUCGAGGCCUGACACCAGAGGAAUUCUUCUUCCAUGCUAUGGGUGGUAGAGAAGGUUUGAUCGAUACUGCUGUGAAAACUUCUGAGACUGGAUAUAUUCAGCGGAGGCUUGUGAAAGCCAUGGAGGACAUCAUGGUCAGGUUUGGGGUUGGGGAUAUGGAGGAGAAGGGCAACUGGGUCUCGGGUCCAGAAUUCGGACAGUUUCCUCCCCUCAUACUAUACCUUGCAUUGAAUCAGCAGCAUACAGCAAGGAUCGGCCAUCAGCUAUGAAAGGCAACAAAAACGCUGAAGGGCAGAUUAAUAAAGUAACGGAUUCAGGAGCACUUCUUGCAUUUGGGUGGGGACUGUACGGGCAGGGCCAACCACACCCUGCAAUGCUCACCUCUAUCUUGGGGGCCACUUCCCGCUGUUCAGAGUCCUCCGUCCAUCCUGCACCGCCGCGUCGUUGUUCCUUGUUCGAUUCCUGAAAGGAACACACACAACAAUAAGCAACGAGAAAUAAUAUUUUAGACUGCAACUGACGAAAUCUUUUAGACUGAAGCCUAAAUCGGUGCGAAAAAUAAUAUUCUGGAGUUCCUUUGGGAUGAAAAUCUGGAAAGAAUGGGCAGUCUGCUACAUUGAAUGUGAGAAUACCAACAUAGACAUCUGCCAGUGGUGCAAAAGCAACUUUAAAUGACAAAGAUUUGGGAUCAGUAACUCCAGGCUCUUUACUCUCAGUCACCAAACAGUGGAACUCAAAUGAUCACUUAUCACUGCAAUUCCCGAUUGCCCUAAGGACCGAAGCAAUCAAAGAUGACCGGCCGGAGUAUGCAUCUCUUCAAGCAAUUCUAUUCGGGCCAUUUGUUCUUGCGGGUCUCUCCUCCAGUGAAUGUGAUGCAAAAACCGGCAAUGCUUUUUCAGAGUGGAUCACUGAGCAUCCGCCGGUGCCGCUGCAGCUGACCCUAAGGAUCGGGGCACGGACGUUCGUGCUGGGCAUCCACGAAUUUGACAACAAAUAAAUGUUGUAUAAAUAAAUUUUCAACUUAAAUCCAAGAACCUAGUAUGCUCCAUAUAAUUUAAAAUCCCUUUGGCACACCUUGAUUGUUCUAAUUUGUCAUCUUCCUAUAAAGAUGCCAUGACCCCCCUCCCAAUUUAAACAUGCAUUAUGUGGAAAAUAAAGUGCAUCAGUUAAUUUUUGUAUUGAUAUUGCAAAAUAUACUUCUUAUUCUGUUUACCAUUCACUUUCUUACAUGAAUCAUCUAUGCACAGGUGGUGGAGGAUGGAUAUGAAUUCUUUGCUGUUAUCUGAAGAGAAGAAGGGAAAGG